GGGCUCUCCACCAUGCCACUGCUCCUCCUGCAUGACUACAACAAUGAGGAAAGAAAUAACGCCUGCUACUAACAGGCAAGCAAACAGCUUGUUAGUAUUUGCAUUUCUGAGCACAGCCUUGUGCAGCAAGGGAUGAAAAAGGGAUGAAAAAAGGACAGUAUGUGGUAAGACAAAUAACUGAACUAUCUACAUCUAUAUAUGACGCACUGGUAGACCAUGCUGGCAUGUGUCUGGGUAAGAUGAAGAAUUUAGUUACUGUAG